CACAAGCUUGGUCCUGACUUUAGUGUCAGCUUUGAUAAAAUUUAUACAUGCAAGUAUCCGCACCCCCGUGAGAAUGCCCUAUCUUACCGCCUACUGGAUAAUAGGAGCCGAUAUCAGGCACAAUUUUUAGCCCACGACAUCUUGCUCAGCCACACCCCUACGGGCAACCAGCAGUAAUAAACAUUAAGCCAUGAGCGCAAGCUCGACUUAGUUAACAUCAAGAAGGGCCGGUCAAACUCGUGCCAGCCACCGCGGUUAUACGAGAGGCCCAAGUUGACCCAAGCCGGCGUAAAGAGUGGUUAAUGUAGACUAAACUAAAGCCGAACACCUUCAAAGCUGUUAUACGCACUUGAAGACAAGAAGCCCUUUUACGAAAGUGGCUUUAAGCAAUAUGACGCCACGAAAGCUAUGGAACAAACUGGGAUUAGAUACCCCACUAUGCAUAGCCCUAAACACAAAUGGGACCCUACCCCAACCAUUCGCCAGGGAACAACGAGCCCCAGCUUAAAACCCAAAGGACUUGGCGGUGCUUUAGACCCCCCUAGAGGAGCCUGUUCUAGAACCGAUACUCCCCGUUCAACCUCACCCUCUCUUGUUAACCCCGCCUAUAUACCGCCGUCGUCAGCUUACCCUGUGAAGGCUUAACAGUAAGCAAUGUUGGUAAAACCCAAAACGUCAGGUCGAGGUGUAGCGCACGAGGGGGGAAGAAAUGGGCUACAUUUACUGUCACAGUAAACAACGGAUACUGCACUGAAAUGAGCAUUUAAAGGAGGAUUUAGCAGUAAGGGGAGAAUAGAGUGCCCCCCUGAAAACGGCCCUUAAGCGCGCACACACCGCCCGUCACUCUCCCCAAAAUAAUAUAGCAGAUAAAUAAUAAAAGAAGAAAAGCAAGGGGAGGCAAGUCGUAACAUGGUAAGUGUACCGGAAGGUGCACUUGGAAAACUA
rnacentral:ncRNA from 1 species